CGCUCCUCUGUGGAAAAACUCGGCGUCAGUCAAUGUUUGCGGAGAGGAAACUUUCUUCCUCUGACGGCGCGCAGUCGACGAGAUUUGCAGCUUUCCCAAGCCCGCACCGCUCCGUCUGUCUGGAUUACCGGCGUCUGCGACUCCAAAAAACAUAAUCCGCAAAGCUUUUCGGAAGGUGGAUUUGUGCGGUUCUCCUCAGUUUGUGCUUGACAACUGUAUUCAAGUGCCCGCGGCUUCCGGAUAUAUCACUGUUUUUUACUGUAUCUCUCGCACAAGAAGGCAGUUUGCGGAUUCUCUCCCCUCUUUACACCUUGAACUGCUCGCUUUACAUCGCACAUUGGUUUAUGUCGUCUCAGCAUGAAGAUAAACACGUAAGUGGAGAUCGUCCCUGAUGAAAGGAGCCACUAGGGUCACUUCCUGAUGAUGACAGUAAACAUGGAUACCGGUCUCCAAAAUGGACCUGGACCGCACAAGAACUCGCAAGAUGAUGAAGAGGCACUUUCCUCCAUAAUGAAGGACUUGGCGGCUUUACGCUUCUGCUACCACAUCAGAGCAACAACAGCAACAAGCCCAAAAGC